CUCUCUCCUGUGCACGGUUAAUCGCAUUUCAGCACCGUAACCAAAUGAUUCCUGAACUCAUACCCACACUUUCUCAGCAAGACUGAGCCGCGCCUGCUGCUGUAAAAGAUGCUUUUUACAGACUACCUCCAAAGGCAAAGAAGUGAUUGUGUAAUGCGUUUUCGCGGUGAAGACAAUGCUUCAUCCAGGAAUAUAUCAUGCAUUCCCAACAAAUCCUGAAGUGCAUCAGAGCCAAGGAAGUACCUCAGGCUUUCUGAUAUGCAGCAAACGUGGGACUCAACAUUCUGCCUGGGAAAGUCAGGAACAACAAGGCACUUGGUAACUUAGCACUGACUGUGCUGAAGAGCGAGGGUGGAGAACAAACUUCUGAGAGGAAAACCAAUUUCAGAAAAUGCAACAUGGCCCCACACUGCUGAACAACUUGGUAUAGGCUGAGAUUGACAAACAUGGUAAAUUGGUUUAUUACUGCUAUAUGUACUGAGGCACAGUAAAAAACUUUAUUUGCAUGCCAUCCAUACAGAUCAUUUCAUCACUUCAGUGCAUCGAGGUAGUACAAGAGAAAUCAAUAACAGAAUGCAGAAUAAAACCAUAAACCACAGGAGCUGGAUUAGGCCAUUUGGCCUACUGAGUUUGCCCCAGCAUUCUAUCACGGCUGAUUUAUUAUCUCUCUCAACCCCUUACUAAUCAAGAACCUAUCUACUCCUGCUUUAAAUAUAUCCAAUGACUCGGCCUCCACAGCUGUAUGUGGUAAUGAAUUCCAGAGGUUCACCACAGUCUGUCUGAAGUAAUUCCUGCUCAUUGUUGUUUUAAAACAGGGGUUCCCACCCUUUUUUAUGCCAUGGUCCCCUACCACUAACCAAGGGGUCUGUGGGCCCCAAGGUGGGAACCCCUGCUAUAGGAGCUGUCCUUGUAUUCUGAGGCUGUGCCUUCUGGUCCUACACUAGGAAAUGUCCUCUCCGUGUCUACUCUUUCUAGGCCAUUCAAUAUUCGAUAGUUUUCAACGACUUACUUGUCAUUGUUCUAUUACAGUGUUAAGGUUAUAGACAGAUAAUAAUAUGUAAACUUGUCUAUCAAAAUUGUUCUGGUUUUUAAUUCCUUCCUGGUCAUCCCUUCAGUAUAUGGAGCCUUUUGGAAAUACCUCACCUACCAACAGCCUAAUGACUUGGAUGAAGAAAUGUGUGAUUGAUUAUUGUUUGCAGAUGGCACAAAAUUGGAGGUGUUGGGGAUAUCGAAAAAGCUUGGCUAAAUCUAUAGAUCAAAUGAGUGAUGGACAGAGAACAUGCAGAUGGAAUUUUAUCCUGGUAAGUGCAAAAUGUUGGACCUUCAGAAGUCAAGCAGCCAGCAUAAUCAAAGAUACCACAAACCUCAGACAUAAUCAUUUCAAAGUUGCUGCGCAAGUUCAGAAUCAGAAUCAGAAACAGGUUUAUUAUCAUCAGCAUGUGACGUGAAA